GCCUGUUUAUUAAAAACAUGUCUUUUUGAUUAUAAUUUAAAGUCUAACCUGCCCAAUGAGGAGUUAAAUGGCCGCGGUAUUUUGACCGUGCAAAGGUAGCAUAAUCAUUAGUUUUUUAAUUGAAAGCUGGUAUGAAUGGUUGGACGAGAAAAUAACUGUCUCAAUUUAAUUUUUAUUAGAAUUUUAUUUAUAAGUAAAAAAGCUUAUAUGUAUUUAAAAGACGAGAAGACCCUAUAGAAUUUUAUAUAUAGAUAUACAUAUUAUUUUUAGAAUUUUAAUUUUUAUGUAUAUCUAUAUAUUUUGUUGGGGCGAUAGAAAAAUUAGAUUAACUUUUUUUGUGUUUAAACAUUAAUGUAUGAGUAAUUGAUCCGUUUUUUACGAUUAUAAGAUUAAAUUACCUUAGGGAUAACAGCGUAAUUUUUUUUUAGAGUUCUUAUCGAAAAAAGAGUUUGCGACCUCGAUGUUGGAUUAAAAUUAACUUUUGGUGUAGGGGCUAAAAGGUUAGGUCUGUUCGACCUUUAAAAUUUUACAUGAUCUGAGUUCAGACCGG
rnacentral:rRNA from 1 species